AUUGAACGCUGGCGGCAGGCCUAACACAUGCAAGUCGAACGAGUGGCGGACGGGUGAGUAAUGUCUGGGAAACUGCCCGAUGGAGGGGUAUAACUUCUGGACACGGUCGCGAAUACCGUAUACCAUCGGAUGUCCCCAGAUGGGUUUAUCUAGUAGGUGGGGUAAAGGUUCACCUAGGCGACGAUCCCUAGCUGGUCUGAGAGGCUGACCAGCCACACUGGAACUGAGAAACGGUCCCGACUCCUACGGGAGGCAGCAGUGGGGAAUAUUGCACAAUGGGCGCAAGCCUGAUGCAACCAUGCCGCGUGUAAGGAGAAAGCCUUCAGGUUGUAAAGUACUUUCAGCGGGGGGGCGUUACCCGCAGGAGAAGCACCGGCUAACUCCGUGCCAGCAGCCGCGGUAAUAC
rnacentral:rRNA from 1 species